CCUACGGGCGGCAGCAGUCGAGAAUCAUUCACAAUGGGGGAAACCCUGAUGGUGCGACGCCGCGUGGGGGAAUGAAGCUCUUCGGAUUGUAAACCCCUGUCAUGUGGGAGCAAAUUAAAAAGAUAGUACCACAAGAGGAAGAGACGGCUAACUCUGUGCCAGCAGCCGCGGUAAUACAGAGGUCUCAAGCGUUGUUCGGAAUCACUGGGCGUAAAGCGUGCGUAGGCUGUUUCGUAAGUCGUGUGUGAAAGGCGCGGGCUCAACCCGCGGACGGCACAUGAUACUGCGAGACUAGAGUAAGGGAGGGGGAACCGGAAUUCUCGGUGUAGCAGUGAAAUGCGUAGAUAUCGAGAGGAACACUCGUGGCGAAGGCGGGUUCCUGGACAUUAACUGACGCUGAGGCACGAAGGCCAGGGGAGCGAAAGGGAUUAGAUACCCGUGUAGUC
rnacentral:rRNA from 1 species